rnacentral:rRNA from 1 species
AGAGUUUGAUCCUGGCUCAGAAUGAACGCUGGCGGCGUGCUUAACACAUGCAAGUCGCACGAGAACGCUUUAGCUUGCUAAAGCAAGUAAAGUGGCGCACGGGUGAGUAACGCGUGGGCAAUCUACCUCCGAAUCGGGGAUAACAUUGCGAAAGCGAUGCUAAUACCGGAUGACAUCCUAAAGUCUUGGGGCUUAAGGAUCAAAGGUGGCCUCUACAUGUAAGCUACUGUUUGGAGAUGAGCCCGCGUACCAUUAGCUUGUUGGUAGGGUAACGGCCUACCAAGGCGACGAUGGUUAGCUGGUCUGAGAGGAUGAUCAGCCACGCUGGAACUGACACACGGUCCAGACUCCUACGGGAGGCAGCAGUGAGGAAUUUUGCGCAAUGGGGGAAACCCUGACGCAGCAACGCCGCGUGAGUGAUGAAGGCUUUCGGGUCGUAAAGCUCUGUCAAGUGGGAAGAAACCACGAGGCGCUAAUAUCGUUUCGUGCUGACGGUACCACUGAAGGAAGCACCGGCUAACUCCGUGCCAGCAGCCGCGGUAAUACGGGGGGUGCAAGCGUUAUUCGGAAUCAUUGGGCGUAAAGGGCGCGUAGGCGGUUUGUUAAGUCAGAUGUGAAAGCCCGGGGCUCAACCCCGGAAGUGCAUUUGAUACUGGCGAACUUGAGUAUGGGAGAGGGAAGUGGAAUUCCUGGUGUAGAGGUGAAAUUCGUAGAUAUCAGGAGGAACACCGGUGGCGAAGGCGACUUCCUGGACCAAUACUGACGCUGAGGCGCGAAGGCGUGGGUAGCAAACAGGAUUAGAUACCCUGGUAGUCCACGCAGUAAACGGUGAUCACUAGGUGUAGCGGGUAUUGACCCCUGCUGUGCCGCAGUUAACGCAUU